AAUCAACGCUGGCGGCGUGCCUAACACAUGCAAGUCGAACGCGAAAGCCCCGCAAGGGGUCAGUAGAGUGGCAAACGGGUGAGUAACACGUGGGUGACCUGCCUUCGAGUGGGGGAUAACGUCCCGAAAGGGACGCUAAUACCGCAUGACAUCCUGCUUUUGAAAAAGCGGAGAUCAAAGCUGGGGAUCGCAAGACCUAGCGCUUGAAGAGGGGCCCGCGCCUGAUUAGCUAGUUGGUGAGGUAACGGCUCACCAAGGCGACGAUCAGUAUCCGGCCUGAGAGGGGGGACGACACACUGGGACUGAGACACGGCCCAGACUCCUACGGGAGGCAGCAGUGGGGAAUUGUUCGCAAUGGGCGCAAGCCUGACGACGCAACGCCGCGUGGAGGACGAAGAUCUUCGGGUCGUAAACUCCUGUCGAGCGGGACGAACGCUUCGCGGAUGAAUAAGCCGCGGAAUUGACGGUACCGCUAAAGGAAGCCCCGGCUAACUCCGUG
rnacentral:rRNA from 1 species